rnacentral:rRNA from 1 species
UUACGGCCAUAUGACAUUGAAACACUGGUUCCCGUACGAUCACCGAAGUUAAGCAACGUCGAGCCUGGUCAGUACCUAGAUGGGUGACCGCUUGGGAAUACCAUAUGCUGU